UACGGAAGGGGCAAGCGUUGUUCGGAAUCACUGGGCUUAAAGGGCGCGUAGGCGGGUGCUCAAGUCCGUGGUGAAAUCCUCCGGCUCAACCGGAGAACUGCCUUGGAUACUGGGCGUCUCGAGUGUGGUAGGGGUAUGCGGAACUAUCGGUGGAGCGGUGAAAUGCGUUGAUAUCGAUAGGAACUCCGGUGGCGAAGGCGGCAUACUGGACCACCACUGACGCUGAUGCGCGAAAGCCAGGGGAGCAAACGGG
rnacentral:rRNA from 1 species